UACGUAGGGAGCGAGCGUUGUCCGGAUUUAUUGGGCGUAAAGAGCGCGUAGGCGGCUUGGUAAGCCGGAUGUGAAACCCCCGAGCUCAACUCGGGGCGGCCAUUCGGAACUGCCAUGGCUAGAGUCUGGUAGGGGAACACGGAAUACCUGGUGUAGCGGUGAAAUGCUUAGAUAUCAGGUGGAACACCAGUGGCGAAGGCGGUGUUCUGGGCCAGUACUGACGCUGAGGCGCGAAAGCGUGGGGAGCAAACAGG
rnacentral:rRNA from 1 species